AAAGGAAACAAAUCACAGAAAUACUUUACAUUUGAUCGUAAUAAAAAGUUGAUACAUUUCCUUAGUGGUACUUAAAUGAAUCCACUUGUUUGAAACAACAUGUUUUUUCAGAUGUAAGUAAGAGCUUGGGGAAGGUAACGAACACUACAAUGCACUGAUAGGAACUACCGUAAGCCCAGAUGUGAUGCUGCAACUCUUCGUAGUGGUUAACCACGUCAAGCAGCUGCAUGAUGUGCACAGGGUUGAUCCGUGGAGACCAACAGCAGAUGCCUGUUAACAUAGCCGAGGAUAAGGACAAUGAGGCCUCUGGAUUGGGGUCUCAACUGGGUUUAAGUUCUUAUCUCUGUUGACUUUGAGUGUAUCUAAUGUAAGCAUAAUGUGGUGCCCCAUUUAAAAAACAUCCCUAUUAAAAAAUCAGUUUGGUAAAAGCUUAGGUUUUACAGCCAUAAAGGAAUAUUUCCAUGUCACUAGCGACCUCCACAUCACCCCUCCUUGCUUUUGUGCGCAUUCAGCAUUUUAGGUUCUGCUAGAAGCUUCAUAAACGUAGUUUUUAAUCCAGUUUUCAGAACACUUUUUACUAACACUUUAAAUCUUGGUCUUUUUCCAGCUAAACAGUCUUUUACCCUAGCCUCAGGCAACAGGA